rnacentral:rRNA from 1 species
GACAGAGGGUGCAAACGUUGUUCGGAUUUACUGGGCGUAAAGGGCGCGUAGACGGCACCGCAAGUCGACUGUGAAAUCUCCGGCUUAACUCGGAAAGGUCAGCCGAUACUGCGGGCUAGAGUGCAGAAGGGGCAACUGGAAUUCUCGGUGUAGCGGUGAAAUGCGUAGAUAUCAAGAGGAACACCUGCGGCGAAGGCGGGUUGCUGGGCCGAUACUGACGCUGAGGAGCGAAAGCGUGGGGAGCGAACAGG